GCUGGCAGCCUGGGCUCUUGGAGAUUGUAUCUGGUGCUGGAGAGGACUGGCUCCCACAGUCAGUGAGGAAGGAAUUUUACUGACCCAGCACCCAGAUGAACUUUGGUGAGGGGAGGAGGUGAGGAAGUCAAGGAGCCUUGCUUUUUCACUUGCAAUUGUGGCACUUCCUUUGGAAAUGGACGUAAGAGCCUGGUGGUUGAUGAUGGAAGAGAUGAAACUGUGAAGAGACUGAAGAAGCUAAUCCGUCAAUAGUUAAGAUUCCAUUUCUAAAAGAUCUUACUUUGAGUCUACCUAUGCCUGGGAUGUCAAGAGACGGAAUUUCGCUGUUGUUGCCCAGGCUGGAGUGCAAUGGCGUGAUUUCGGCUCACGGCUACCUCUGCCUCCCGGGUUGAAGCUAUUCUCCUGCCUCAGCCUCCCAAGUAGCUGGGAUUACAGAUCAUGAACUGGCAGCCAUGUGGAAAGAAGACUAGACUGCGAAUCACUUAGGAUCCCGCCCUCGGUUUAGUCCAGAAUACUCUGCCAAUCAGCUUUUUGGCCGCAGGUUAUAGGAUCCAAUUUUUUAGGUGGUAGCAACAUGCUCAAGGAAGAUGCAGCCCCUUCCUCCAGCCUGAGAGAAUAAAGCAUCAUUGGCUUAUGCCAACCAUGGCAAUCCCAUUCCCCUUUCUCAUGAUUGAUUUGGGAAUGGGCAAGUGACCCAGUCCUAACCAAUGAGACCAAAGAAAAAGUCUAUUGGUCAGCUUAUCUCAGAAGAUUUUUGUUUCCUGCUAUAAAGAGAAACAGUAAGUUUCUUCCUGCCUGACUUAAAUGCAAUUGUGUGCAAACAUGUUACUUGGAGCUACAGCAACGAUUCUGUGACCAUGAGGCAAUAAGCCAAGGACAAAGGAUAGAAUAGUGAAAAGACAGAGUAUUGGAUUUUUUUUUAUGAUAUCAUUGAACUGCUGGACCAGUGUGGAACCAUCUACUUUUAGUCUUUCAUGAUUUGUGAGAUGAUUAAAAAUUUCUUUUUUUUUUAGCCAUUAUUUAUUUUCUGUUACUUGCAACUGAAGACAUCCGACAUAAUACAAACACUAUCCAACUUGGGUUGUAAUUUCUCUAUUUUCACAUCUGUGUGUUCUAUCUUACUGAUUUUUGUAUUCUUGGCACUGAGUAUAAGCCUGCUCCUUAGUAAGACUUCAAUAAAUGACUGUUUAAAAAGGUCUUAGAUGAUUUAAAAAAAUUUUGAAGUUGCUGAAAUACGAAGACCAAGAACCAAUUUCAGGUUCUAUAAAUGUCUUGCUUCCUUCACUUCUGGAGUAUUCUUCAUUUCUGUCUGAUUCUACCUUUACUAAAAUGAAUGAAUGAUUGAGGAAUGUGAAAAAUGGCUGGUAUAGUGGCUACGGCUGAGAAGUAUCUCUUGGAAAUUCCCGGAAAUUCCAUCAACCACAUUCAGACCUAAUUCUCUGAUGAUCAGUGUUUCUGAACUCAAACCAGUGUACAUAAUCAGUGGACUAUUUAAAGUGGUAUUAGCCUAGAAUAUCUAGGACAUAUGUUUUAUGCAUUCAGUAAGCAUUUGUUUAAUGUGUCUUAUCUACCAGGCACAUUAUUAUGCAUUGGGCAUGUAGAGAUGACCAACCACACGGCCUCAAUCCUUGAAAAGCUUACAGUAACCAAACAGGGUUAACGGCCUAAAGAGAGGUAAUUACAAGUCUUAUGCCCAGUCCUCUUAGCAUAGUAUGGUGCUACCACUGAGUUAAUUAAGAUAACAGAAGUCCUAGAUAUAUAUCUUUGAUGAAAUCGUUUCCAUAAAAACUUUCCAAGCUUGGUCCCUCCCCAGCUGAGUUCAUUUUGGAAGGUGACUUUCUGCUCUCAUCACCUAAGGUCCUUAACGUGUAUCCUGUGUUCUCCGGAGGCACCCCUUGCCCAGAGUGUGCCCUCUGCAUGGUUCCCCCAGAACACCUAUUUCAAAGGAAAAGAAAUUUGAUCAUUCAGUGAAGAUUUGGGGGAUCAGUUUUCUACGUGGGAGGAUUAUGAGUAGUGCCUUGCUCCCCUAUGUAUUAGUAAAUAUAAAGAAAAUAUAUAUUAACCCCCUUUCUGGCUGGGCACAGUGGCUCAUGCCUGUAAUCCCAGCACUUUGGGAAUCUGAGGUGGGUGGAUCACUUGAGGUCAGCAGUUUGAGACCAGCCUGGCCAACAUGGCAACACCCCGUCUCUACUAAAAUAUAAAAAUUAGCCAGAUGUGGUUGCACACGUCUCUAGUCCCAGCUACUUGGGAGGCUGAGGCGCAAGAAUUGCUUGAGCCUAGGAGGCAGGGGUUGCAGUGAGCUGAGAUUGUGCCAUUGCACUCCAGCCUGGGUGACAGAGCAAGACUCUGUCUCAAUAAAAUAAUAAAAUAAAAUAAAAUAAUAAUAAAAUAAUUUAAACCCCAUUCUUCUUAGUUAACCAUGACUUCUGAAUGAGGUCAGAGCUCUUGUGCUCUGCAUCUCUGGUCCAUCAGCCUCAAGGCCACCUUUCAGGUCCACAUGAAAUAUAAGUGCACAAAGGUUUAGCAUUAUUAGUUUCCCCCACUGGUCUGAUUUUUGUAGAAAUUGCCAGGAACUGAUUUUCUGCCCUUCCUUCCUAACAGACAAGCCUUCCUGCCCUCCCUGACACAGCUCUUCCCUGUCUCCUACUCUCUGGUCAUCAAGCUUUUAGAGAUGCCCUGGCCUUCUGCUAGUUGCCCCAGCUGUAUUUUUUCUUCUUAGGAAUGCAUUGAUUCCAGAGCCUGACUGGGAAUAAAUCUCAGCUCCUCCAUUUAGCAGUUAUGGGAUUCAAGUUACUCUUACUCCCAGGGGCUCAGUUUGUGCACCUGUAAAAUGGAGAUUUACCACCUUUCCUUCCAGCAUUACUGAUAUUGUUUGGCUCUGUGUCCCCACCUAAAUCCCAUCUCGAAAAUUAAUCCCUAUAGUCCCCGUGUGUUGAGGGUCCUGGUGGGAGGUGAUUGGAUCCUGGGGGCGGCUUUUCCCAUGCUGUUCUCGUGAUAGUGACUAAGUUCUCGCGAGAGCUGAUGGUUUUAUAAGUGUUUGACAGUUUCUCCUUCACACGCUCUGUCUUCUGUCUCCUGCCACCCUGUAAGAUGUGCCUGCUUCUCCUCUUCUCAUGAUUGUAAGUCUCCUGAGUCCUCCUCAGCCAUGAAGAACUGUGAGUCAAUUAAACCUCUUUCUUUUAUAAAUUACCCAGUCUUGGGUAUUUCUUUGCAGCAGUGUGAAUACAGACUAAUGCAAUUACCAUAAUGAGCUUUCAAUUGAUGAACUUGCAUCACUGACUCCUCAACACACAGCUGACUUCCUACUGUAAUUGUUCCCCAUGCAGACAUUUGUUUGUGGAGCCACAAGCAUAACCAUCAUGGUAUUUAAGAUUCAUUCUGUAUCUGGAUUUAUGCACUUUAUGAAAAAUCAUCAAACUGUCCUUAUUAUUGGUGUCUUUUUUCUGUCUGUAUGUUAUGCUUCAAUAAAAUAUUUACUUAAAAUGGUUUUAGGU